GAUGAACGCUGGCGGCGUGCCUAAUACAUGCAAGUCGAGCGAACGGACGAGAAGCUUGCUUUUCUGAUGUUAGCGGCGGACGGGUGAGUAACACGUGGAUAACCUACCUAUAAGACUGGGAUAACUUCGGGAAACCGGAGCUAAUACCGGAUAAUAUUUUGAACCGCAUGGUUCAAAAGUAAAAGACGGUCUUGCUGUCACUUAUAGAUGGAUCCGCGCUUCAUUAGCUAGUUGGUAAGGUAACGGCUUACCAAGGCAACGAUGCAUAGCCGACCUGAGAGGGUGAUCGGCCACACUGGAACUGAGACACGGUCCAGACUCCUACGGGAGGCAACAGUAGGGAAUCUUCCGCAAGGGGCGAAAGCCUGACGGAGCAACGCCGCGUGAGUGAUGAAGGUCUUCGGAUCGUAAAACUCUGUUAUUAGGGAAGAUCAUAUGUGUAAGUAACUGUGCACAUCUUGACGGUACCUAAUCAGAAAGCCACGGCUAACUACGUG
rnacentral:rRNA from 1 species